rnacentral:tRNA from 1 species
GGCGCCAUCGUCUAUCGGUUAGGACACUGCCCUUUCAAGGCGGAAAGACGGGUUCGAUCCCCGUUGGCGCUACCA